ACAGUAGUCUGCAUCGUUGGUUA
rnacentral:miRNA from 1 species